rnacentral:lncRNA from 1 species
AUUUUACCUCCCUAUGAUCCUAUUUUGGGCCAGUGUUUCUGGUCUUACUCCUUCUCUCACGUGAUUUCUACUGGAUGAAUGUCUUCCUCCUGGUAGUCCCAUUCCAUUUUGAGGAUGCUAACGGAGUCCUGUCAUUUUAACAAGGUAACAAGGGGUCCUUCAGGGACAGUACGAACUGCAGGUUACAUUCAUCGACACCAAAGACCGACACAGAACUUCCCCAGUUUGACUCAUAAACUGGAGGGAGAAAACAUCUGGUGUCCAUCUUUCAUCAUUCAAGGUCUGUGGACACAUGGGAACGUCACCCUGAGAAGGUCUGAUAAGAAAGAAACUAGACCUCACAGAUGCCUCAAGAAUCAGAGUUAGCCAUUAAGUCACAGCAUAGACAAAGCUUUAGCAAGAGGAACUAAAUGAGCGGAGUAAAUGGGAUUUUAGACUGUUAAUGGGGUCCUCUGGCUCACCUUCCAGUUUGGAGUCAGGGAAACUGCCCCCCAGAGAAAUGGCUGCUCUCGGGAGGGAGCCACAGAGCAGGGGCUCCCAGAGGACUGUACUUAGGGACUACAAGGUCCACUAUCAGUGGACACCACUGGCAUCAGGGGUGUUUAGGGAGACAAGAGGGGAAGAUCUACUUGCAAAGUCAACAUACUCUUGUGUUUGCUUGUUUUUGCAGCACUGAGGAUUGAAUGCAGGGCCUUUGCGCUGAGCUACAACUACAGGCCUUUUGAUUUUUGAUUUUUGAGACUGAGUCUGGCUAAGUUGGCCAGGCUGGACUCAAAUUUAUGACCCUUUUGCCUCAGCAUCCCAGAGUGUUGGGAUUACAGGCAUGCGCCACCACUUGCUAAGGUACAUGUUUUAAAUGUUGCUGUUGCCCUGUGGAAGGUGUUGGCACUCACAUGGUCCCACUGGAAAGUCACAUGGACGGGGAAGAUCUCAUACAUAUAGGGAAUCCAGGCUGGGAGAGGGUAAGUGA